rnacentral:rRNA from 1 species
GAUGAACGCUGGCGGCGUGCUUAACACAUGCAAGUCGAACGAAGCAUUUAGGACAGAUUACUUCGGUUUGAGGUCUUUUAUGACUGAGUGGCGGACGGGUGAGUAACGCGUGGGUAACCUGCCUCAUACAGGGGGAUAGCAGCUGGAAACGGCUGGUAAUACCGCAUAAGCGCACAGUACCACAUGGUACAGUGUGAAAAACUCCGGUGGUAUGAGAUGGACCCGCGUCUGAUUAGCUUGUUGGCGGGGUAACGGCCCACCAAGGCGACGAUCAGUAGCCGACCUGAGAGGGUGACCGGCCACAUUGGGACUGAGACACGGCCCAGACUCCUACGGGAGGCAGCAGUGGGGAAUAUUGCACAAUGGAGGAAACUCUGAUGCAGCGACGCCGCGUGAGUGAAGAAGUAGUUCGCUAUGUAAAGCUCUAUCAGCAGGGAAGAUAGUGACGGUACCUGACUAAGAAGCUCCGGCUAAAUACGUG